rnacentral:rRNA from 1 species
CAAAGACCGCGAGGUGGAGCGAAUCUCCAAAAAUUAGUCCCAGUUCAGAUUGCAGGCUGCAACUCGCCUGCAUGAAGUCGGAAUUGCUAGUAAUCGUGGAUCAGCAUGCCACGGUGAAUACGUUCCCGGGCCCUUGUACACACCGCCCGUCACACCAUGGGAGUCGGUAACACCCGAAGCCUGUAGUCUAACCGCAAGGAGGACGCAGUCGAAGGUGGGAUUGAUGACUGGGGUGAAGUCGUAACAAGGUACC